UUUCUGACAGGGGGCCCCAAUUUGUGUCCAAGUUUUGGCAAGAGUUUUGUAGGUUACUGGGAGCGAGUGUCAGCCUGUCUUCAGGGUUUCAUCCCCAGAGCAACGGUCAAACGGAGAGGGCCAACCAAGAUUUGGAGAGAGUGUUGCGAUGUUUGGUUUCUAAGAAUCCCUCUUCCUGGAGCCAACAACUCUCUAUGGUUGAGUACGCUCACAAUUCGUUGCCAGUGGCAGCCACGGGUCUCUCUCCGUUUAAGUGUAGUUUAGGUUACCAGCCACCUAUCUUUCCCAGUACGGAGUCCGAGGUCACUGUUCCCUCCGCUCACGCUUUCAUCCAGAGGUGCCGUCACGCAUGGAGCAGAGCCCGUGAGACUCUUCUCCGGGUGGGGGCGCGCACCAAGGCUAAGGCCGAUCGCCACCAGUCGAAGCCUCCGGUAUACGUCGUUGGCCAAAGAGUGUGGCUUUCUACUAAGAACAUUCCACUCCGAUCCGUUUCGAACAAGCUUGCCCCCAAAUUUAUCGGCCCGUUCAAAGUCACCAGGAUCAUUAGUCCGGUGGCGGUCCGGCUUAAGCUUCCUCCGGCGUAUAGGAGAAUUCAUCCUACCUUUCAUGUGUCUAAAAUAAAACCUGUGUUUCAGGCACCCAUUAACCCGCCGGUCCCGGUUCCCCCGCCGCCACGACUUGUUGAGGGGGAACCCACCUUUUCUGUCAAUCGUAUUUUGGACUCUAGAAGGAGGGGACGCGGAUUCCAGUACCUGGUGGACUGGGAGGGUUACGGCCCGGAGGAGAGAAGUUGGGUGCCUGCUAGGGACAUUCUGGAUCACUCCCUUAUCGAUGAUUUCAAUCGACAGCACGCUAUCAUCGGAAGAUGCGCCCGAGUCCCUGGGUCGGAUUCCGUCUGAGUACAGUCUGUCUGUCCUGUUGCUGCUGUAAACUGUAUUCAUUAAACCAUCGUUGCUUGC